rnacentral:rRNA from 1 species
AUUGAACGCUGGCGGCAGGCCUAACACAUGCAAGUCGAACGAGUGGCGGACGGGUGAGUAAUGUCUGGGAAACUGCCUGAUGGAGGGGGAUAACUACUGGAAACGGUAGCUAAUCCCGCAUACCAUCAGAUGUGCCCAGAUGGGAUUAGCUUGUUGGUGGGGUAACGGCUCACCAAGGCGACGAUCCCUAGCUGGUCUGAGAGGAUGACCAGCCACACGGGAACUGAGACACGGUCCAGAAGCCGACGGGAGGAAGCAGUGGGGAAUAUUGCACAAUGGGCGAAAGCCUGAAGCAGCCAUGCCGCGUGUAUGAAGAAGGCCUUCGGGUUGUAAAGUACUUUCAGCGGGGAGGCGUUAGCCGCAGAAGAAGCACCGGCUAACUCCGUGCCAGCCGCCGCGGUAAUAC